rnacentral:misc_RNA from 1 species
GAUGAAGACGUAGCGAAAUGCGAUACGUAAUGUGAAUUGCAGAAUUCAGUGAAUCAUCGAGUCUUUGAACGCACAUUGCGCCCUCUGGUAUUCCGGAGGGCAUGCCUGUCCGAGCGUCAUUGCUGCCCUCAAGCACGGCUUGUGUGUUGGGCUCCGUCCCCCGAUCCCGGGGGACGGGCCCGAAAGGCAGCGGCGGCACCGCGUCCGGUCCUCGAGCGUAUGGGGCUUUGUCACCCGCUCUGUAGGCCCGGCCGGCGCUUGCCGAUCAACCAAAUUUUUAUCCAGGUUGACCUCGGAUCAGGUAGGGAUACCCGCUGAACUUAAGCAUAUCAAUAAGCGGAGGA